rnacentral:rRNA from 1 species
GACGAACGCUGGCGGCGUGCCUAAUACAUGCAAGUCGAGCGGACGUUUUUGAAGCUUGCUUCAAAAACGUUAGCGGCGGACGGGUGAGUAACACGUGGGCAACCUACCUUAUCGACUGGGAUAACUCCGGGAAACCGGGGCUAAUACCGGAUAAUAUCUAGCACCUCCUGGUGCCGGAUUAAAAGAGGGCUUCUUGCUCUCACGAUGAGAUGGGCCCGCGGCGCAUUAGCUAGUUGGAGAGGUAACGGCUCCCCAAGGCAACGAUGCGUAGCCGACCUGAGAGGGUGAUCGGCCACACUGGGACUGGGACACGGCCCAGACUCCUACGGGAGGCAGCAGUAGGGAAUCUUCCGCAAUGGACGAAAGUCUGACGGAGCAACGCCGCGUGAGUGAUGAAGGGUUUCGGCUCGUAAAGCUCUGUUAUGAGGGAAGAACACGUACCGUUCGAAUAGGGCGGUACCUUGACGGUACCUCAUCAGAAAGCCACGGCUAACUACGUGCCAGCAGCCGCAGUAA